GCGCCAAUAGUUUAUCGGUAGAAUUUCGCCUUCCCAAGGCGGUGAGCCGGGUUCAAUUCCCGGUUGGCGCA
rnacentral:tRNA from 1 species